AGCCCUAAGUGGGUGGUAAACUCCAUCUAAGGCUAAAUAUGACCACGAGACCGAUAGCGAACAAGUACCGUGAGGGAAAGUUGAAAAGCACUUUGAAGAGAGAGUUCAAGAGUACGUGAAACCGUUUAGGGGUAAACCUGAGAAACCCGAAAGGUCGAAGGAAGAAAUUCAUUCGCGUUUCGUCGCAGGCGACGGGCGGGAUCGUGUGACGGAAAACGUUCGCGUUUUCCGCGCCUUCCGUUCAUCGAACCGGUGACGAACGCGUGCACUUUUCUUCUGGUAGGACGUCGCGAUCCGUUGGGUGUCGGUCUACGGCUCGUGGUGGAGCCCGUUCGUCGUAUUUCUCGUACGUACGGACGGACCCGCGUGUCCCGGCUGACUCGCUCGACGGUAUACGAAAGGUUUAAGGCCGCUCUUGGAGCGUUCGGCUCGUGGCAAGCGCGCCAGAUUUGUGUCGGCGAUCGGACCUAGUGCCGAUUCUGACCUCUGGUGACUGUUGGCCGCGAAGUCCUCGAACAGACCUUCAAACCGAUCUGCGACGCUAUAGCUUUGGGUACUUUCAG
rnacentral:rRNA from 1 species